rnacentral:rRNA from 1 species
AGAGUUUGAUCCUGGCUCAGGAUGAACGCUAGCUACAGGCCUAACACAUGCAAGUCGAGGGGCAGCGGGGUUGAAGCUUGCUUCAACUGCCGGCGACCGGCGCACGGGUGAGUAACACGUAUCCAACCUUCCGUUUACUCAGGGAUAGCCUUUCGAAAGAAAGAUUAAUACCUGAUAGUAUCGAGAGAUUGCAUGAUAGCCCGAUUAAAGAUUAAUCGGUAAACGAUGGGGAUGCGUUCCAUUAGCUUGUUGGCGGGGUAACGGCCCACCAAGGCUACGAUGGAUAGGGGUUCUGAGAGGAAGGUCCCCCACAUUGGAACUGAGACACGGUCCAAACUCCUACGGGAGGCAGCAGUGAGGAAUAUUGGUCAAUGGGCGAGAGCCUGAACCAGCCAAGUAGCGUGAAGGAUGAAGGUUCUAUGGAUUGUAAACUUCUUUUAUACGGGAAUAAAACCUCCCACGUGUGGGAGCUUGUAUGUACCGUAUGAAUAAGCAUCGGCUAACUCCGUGCCAGCAGCCGCGGUAAUACGGAGGAUGCGAGCGUUAUCCGGAUUUAUUGGGUUUAAAGGGAGCGCAGACGGGAUGUUAAGUCAGCUGUGAAAGUUUGCGGCUCAACCGUAAAAUUGCAGUUGAUACUGGCGUCCUUGAGUGCGGUUGAGGUGUGCGGAAUUCGUGGUGUAGCGGUGAAAUGCUUAGAUAUCACGAAGAACCCCGAUUGCGAAGGCAGCACACUAAGCCGUAACUGACGUUCAUGCUCGAAAGUGUGGGUAUCAAACAGGAUUAGAUACCCUGGUAGUCCACACGGUAAACGAUGGAUACUCGCUGUUGGCGAUAUACUGUCAGCGGCCAAGCGAAAGCAUUAAGUAUCCCACCUGGGGAGUACGCCGGCAACGGUGAAACUCAAAGGAAUUGACGGGGGCCCG